UUGAUGCUCGAGUGAUCUCUG
rnacentral:siRNA from 1 species